rnacentral:tRNA from 1 species
CCGACCUUAGCUCAGUUGGCAGAGCGGAGGACUGUAGUGUUUCCUGUAAUCCUUAGGUCGCUGGUUCGAAUCCGGCAGGUCGGA